rnacentral:rRNA from 1 species
GACGAACGCUGGCGGCGUGCUUAACACAUGCAAGUCGAACGAUGAACUUGGAGCUUGCUCUGGGGGAUUAGUGGCGAACGGGUGAGUAACACGUGAGUAACCUGCCCUGGACUCUGGGAUAACUUCGAGAAAUCGGAGCUAAUACCGGAUAGGACCCUGCACCGCAUGGUGUGGGGUGGAAAGUUUUUCGGUUUGGGAUGGACUCGCGGCCUAUCAGCUUGUUGGUGAGGUAAUGGCUCACCAAGGCGUCGACGGGUAGCCGGCCUGGGAGGGUGACCGGCCGCACUGGGACUGAGACACGGCCCAGACUCCUACGGGAGGCAGCAGUGGGGAAUAUUGCACAAUGGGCGCAAGCCUGAUGCAGCAACGCCGCGUGCGGGAUGACGGCCUUCGGGUUGUAAACCGCUUUUAGUAGGGAAGAAGCCUUCGGGUGACGGUACCUGCAGAAAAAGGACCGGCUAACUACGUGCCAGCCGCCGCCGUAACAC